rnacentral:rRNA from 1 species
AUUGAACGCUGGCGGCAUGCCUAACACAUGCAAGUCGAGCGGCUGCAGGGAGCUUGCUCUUGGGUUCAGCGGCGAACGGGUGAGUAAUGCCUAGGAAUCUGCCUGGUAGUGGGGGAUAACGUCCGGAAACGGGCGCUAAUACCGCAUACGUCCUGAGGGUGAAAGCGGGGGAUCUUCAGACCUCGCGCUAUCAGAUGAGCCUAGGUCGGAUUAGCUAGUUGGUGGGGUAAAGGCUUACCAAGGCGACGAUCCGUAACUGGUCUGAGAGGAUGAUCAGUCACACUGGAACUGAGACAAGGCCCAGACUCCUACGGGAGGCAGCAGUGGGGAAUAUUGGACAAUGGGCGAAAGCCUGAUCCAGCCAUGCCGCGUGCGGGAAGAAGGCCUUCGGAUUGUAAAGCGCUUUUGGUCGGGAAGAAGGGCAGUAAGCUAAUACCCCGCGGGGAUGACGGUACCAGAAGAAUAAGCACCGGCUAACUACGUG